rnacentral:tRNA from 2 species
GGGGCAUUAGCUCAGUUGGUAGAGCGCUGCCUUUGCAAGGCAGAUGUCAGGAGUUCGAGUCUCCUAUGCUCCAC